CGCUCGAUCCCGUGGAUAACACCGUCGGGACGGAUAACGUCGUCGGGUCGAACUAUCUCGGCGGAGUCAACGACUUUCUUACCAGAACUCUUGCCGAUUAGGUGAAGAUGAUCAUUACACAAAGUGGUAUGCCUGGCAGGCUUAGAUUUUUCACUGGGCCAAUCACUGGAUCCGACCCGUUUAGGAAUAAUGUGGAACAUCAGGAGGGUCUGAAGAGACUUGAGAUUGCCAGGCUCAAGCAAGAAGCGCUUAAACUCAGGGUCAAGCUGGCGCUCCAAAGCUUCAUUUCUGGGAGCA
rnacentral:misc_RNA from 1 species